GGUCCAGAACUGCAAAGGCUAACAAGGGUACAGAAAGACAUUCCGGAGUAGAGAGCACUCGGCUUCGGACCGAGCGGGCACUGGUUCAAAUCCAGCGCUGGACCA
rnacentral:tRNA from 1 species